rnacentral:misc_RNA from 1 species
GAUGAAGAACGUAGCGAAAUGCGAUAAGUAAUGUGAAUUGCAGAAUUCAGUGAAUCAUCGAAUCUUUGAACGCACCUUGCACCCUUUGGCAUUCCGAAGGGUAUGCUCGUUUGAGUGUCAUUGUACUCUCACACUUCCGAUCUUUGGAUUGGGAGCGGUGGACUUGGGUGUUGCUGCUUACUGUGGCUCACCUCAAAUCGAUUCGUGCACCUCUUGGUUGGACAUAGUACGGCGUGAUAAGUGUCUUCGCCGGCACCUCAGUAGAGGGUGGCUGAUCGGGAGCUCUGCUUCAAACCGUCCUCGGACAACAACUGACAACUUGACCUCAAAUCGAGUAGGACUACCCGCUGAACUUAAGCAUAUCAAUAAGCGAGGA